CUAAGGUCCUUGGCUUCUAAGGCAUAUAUUGGAAAGAGUAAAGCCUAACCACGACUACUCAUGGGACAUUAUUGAUUCCAACAUAACCUCCACCAAGUGAAUGGGCUUGCAAGUCAACUUGCUAAGGAAUAAAUCCACAUAAGUCAACAAGACUAUGCCAUUCUCCUAUCCUAAGUGCACUCGAGUUCGGGUAUAGAACUCAUCUCACGAAGAUCACCAAACAUACAAGGAAUUAAUAUUCAAACAAUUCAAUCAUUACAUACAAUACAGUAAUCCCAAAUUGCACAAAAAUAUGUCACAAAGCAAUAUACCAUACAAUACAACAAAUAUGAAAAGUGGCAAAAC
rnacentral:lncRNA from 1 species